ensembl:lncRNA
UGCCAUUCACAUCCAUAUGCCAUCUUUUUUUUUUUUUUUUUUUUUUUUUCCCCAGACUGAAAAGAAUGCCUGGGCUGAAGCUGGCCAGUUGCUCAGAAAGCCGUGUUAGGAAGGUACCAGUAAAAAAGAAGGAUUUCAAAAUGAUUUGCCAUACGCUAUUUUGAAACAAUGAGAACAGCAGCAGAAUUAUCUAUGAACCAUCUCUGCUUGGAAAGCCACCAGGAGGAGGCUUGGCCUUCCCAGAAGUGCACCAACAGCAGCAAAGAGUCUCUUGCAACCACUUAGCUACCUCUUUCUGCUCCGCAGCUGGGAUUAAUGCCCAAUUCUGUGAGCAUUUUUCCUCUUCCUCCUGUUUGCUCCACUGCAAAGUCAGACAGCUUAGUAUAAACUCCCUUCAAAGAAGCAUUCCAGCUGCUGAAUCAGCUGAGAAGACAAAGAGCAAGGCUGGUGUGAAGCCCAUUCUGGAGCAGUGGAAACCAACAAAAUUAAAACAAACAAACAAAAAAUAUAUGAGGAAUCUGCACACAGGCAGCAGGAGCACUGCAAGAUAAAUUUACAUUUCAUAGUGGGAAACAAACCAUCCCACAAAGAUACGAUAAAUCAUCAGAGGAACAACGAGGUGCCAUGACACAUGCAUAUGUUUUUCUACAGUCACAUGAAAUGAAGAUAUGAGGCACACAACCCAAUCUCCAUCUCAAAGGUUUGUUAACCAUAACCAAGCCUGUCUGCAUAAAGAGCAGCCUUGCUGAAAUUUCAAGUAUAGACUUUUUUUUUUUUCCAACAGCAGUUCCCCAAUUCUUUUUUUUUUAUUAAUGUGUCUUGGUCAAUCCACUAACCUAGUUUUCAAAUCACAAGGAUUCUUAAGACUUUGUUAUAUAGGCACAAUGGCAACAUAGACUUACUUCUAGUGAUAUUUUGAUUACAAGGAGGAAAAAAGGCUGCAAUUUUAGCAAAACAAGUUUUGUAACAAGAUUAUUCAUUCUGGUUCAACAUCACUGACUUUUGUGAACAUAGACGAGAAAGAAGUUUGGACAAAUCAGUUUGUAGAAACAAAUGAAAAAUUCACAUAGAAAUAUUAUUUUGAUCAAGAAGUAAUUUCCAUGAAAGCAAACAAACAAAUUCCAUAUAAAA